GCCGGGCGUGGUGGCGGGUGCCUGUAAUCCCAGCUACUCAGGAGGCUGAGGCAGGAGAAUUGCUUGAACCCGGGAGGUGGAGUUUGCAGUGAGCCGAGAUCAUGCCACUGCACCACAGCCUGGGCUACAGAGCAAGACUCUGUCUCAA
rnacentral:SRP_RNA from 1 species